rnacentral:rRNA from 1 species
AGAGUUUGAUCCUGGCUCAGGAUGAACGCUGGCGGUAUGCUUAACACAUGCAAGUCGAACGGAUGUUUUCGGACAUUAGUGGCGGACGGGUGAGUAACGCGUGAGAAUCUGCCUAUAGGUUGGGGACAACAGAUGGAAACGUCUGCUAAUACCCGAUGUGCCGAGAGGUAAAAGCUUUAGUGCCUGUAGAUGAGCUCGCGUCCGAUUAGCUAGUUGGUUAGGUAAAGGCUGACCAAGGCGACGAUCGGUAGCUGGUCUGAGAGGAUGAUCAGCCACACUGGGACUGAGACACGGCCCAGACUCCUACGGGAGGCAGCAGUGGGGAAUUUUCCGCAAUGGGCGAAAGCCUGACGGAGCAAUACCGCGUGCGGGACGAAGGCUUUUGGGUCGUAAACCGCUUUUGUUAGGGAAGAAGAACUGACGGUACCUAACGAAUCAGCAUCGGCUAACUCCGUGCCAGCAGCCGCGGUAAUACGGGGGAUGCAAGCGUUAUCCGGAAUUAUUGGGCGUAAAGCGUCCGCAGGUGGUUUAUCAAGUCUGCUGUCAAAGCGUGGGGCUUAACCCCAUAAAGGCAGUGGAAACUGAGAGACUAGAGUACGGUAGGGGUAGCGGGAAUUCCCAGUGUAGCGGUGAAAUGCGUAGAUAUUGGGAAGAACACCAGCGGCGAAGGCGCGCUACUGGGCCGAAACUGACACUCAUGGACGAAAGCUAGGGGAGCGAAAGGGAUUAGAUACCCCUGUAGUCCUAGCUGUAAACGAUGACAACUAGGUGUUGCGCGUAUCGACCCGUGCAGUGCCGUAGCUAACGCGUUAAGUNUCCGCCUGGA